rnacentral:lncRNA from 1 species
GCCCGAGCUUCCUCCACGCGCCGUGCAGUCUCCACGGCGACGCUGCGUUCCCGACUCGGAGCCCCCAGCUCCGCGCGAGCAGCUAGCCGGGCUGGCUCUCGGUGUGUGCCCUUCGGAUGGUCUGCUGAAGAGGGCCGCCAGCUGGUAAGACACUCCGAGGCAACGACCGGUCUCCCUCUCCCUAGCCCGGUGUGCAGUCUGACCCAGCCCCCACAGCAGACCACCCCCAGACCGGGCGCCCGAGUCUGCGGACCGCUCUACCGCACCUGGUUCUGGCUCUGGGCCCCGGGCCCCGUGGCUGCCAGGGGCCGCCGGGAAGGGAGGAUGCGCGCCACUGGGGUGCGCCUGGCUUGCGGCACCCUCCUCCCGCAGUGGUCGGAAGAGAGUUUGGUCUUCCACAACUGUGUUUCCCCAAAAGAUGCCGUGCUGUUCUGAUAGACUUUAGUCCUCUGACUUCUGUAGACAAGACAGAUACUGUAAAGACAGCAAAGAACAAACAGAAUGGCAGAUUGCUAAUGUUUGAUCCAAACGAAAAAGUGAUGAUUGAAUCAAACGAAGCAAUGUCAGAGUAAGAAGAUGUCUUUGAUUGUGCAGCUGAUCUCUCCCAUGCCUUUUAAGCAAUUAGAACUA